rnacentral:rRNA from 1 species
UACGUAGGGGGCAAGCGUUUGUCCGGAUUUAUUGGGCGUAAAGAGCGUGUAGGCGGCCAAGCAGGUCCGCUGUGAAAACUCGAGGCUCAACCUCGAGAGGUCGGUGGAAACCGUUUGGCUAGAGUCCGGAAGAGGAGAGUGGAAUUCCCGGUGUAGCGGUGAAAUGCGCAGAUAUCGGGAAGAACACCCGUGGCGAAGGCGGCUCUCUGGGACGGUACUGACGCUGAGACGCGAAAGCGUGGGGAGCGAACAGG